rnacentral:rRNA from 1 species
UGGGGAAUAUUGGACCAUGGGCGCAAGCCUGAUCCAGCCAUGCCGCGUGAGUGACGAAGGCCUUAGGGUUGUAAAGCUCUUUUGGCGGGGAAGAUAAUGACGGUACCCGCAGAAUAAGCUCCGGCUAACUUCGUGCCAGCAGCCGCGGUAAUACGAAGGGUGCGAGCGUUAUCCGGAUUUACUGGGUUUAAAGGGUGCGUAGGUGGGCUUAUAAGUCAGUGGUGAAAUCUCCGAGCUUAACUUGGAAACUGCCGUUGAUACUAUAGGUCUUGAAUUAUCUGGAGGUAAGCGGAAUAUGUCAUGUAGCGGUGAAAUGCUUAGAUAUGACAUAGAACACCAAUUGCGAAGGCAGCUUACUACAUAUAAAUUGACGCUGAGGCACGAAAGCGUGGGGAUCAAA